rnacentral:lncRNA from 1 species
CCCAAACCACUAAUUUGAUGAAACUUGUAAGAUGACAACUUUGAAUACUACACAUCUAAAGUACUCAAAAUACGCCACUUAGAGAAGUUCCUAAUUUGUACUAUACUAUAUAAAGAAAUUGUAGGAAUUGGUUCAAAUAUUAAAUGAAAAGGGGUGUAAAAAUUGGAAAAUGAAAAUGUGUGAAAAAAUGGAAAAUGAAAAGGUGUGACUACGUGUCAACUUCGACCAAAUAUUCAGAUUUUAUCCAAUGGUCAAAUUACAAAAGUAAAUAGACCAACUUAUACUACUCGUCGAGAAGAUCGUCGUGAUAUAUUUGGAAUCUCGAAACUAAUUCCGGAUGAAUGAGAAAUUGUGGACCAAAGUUGGAAGAAAUGAAGUGUUGCAACUUUUCGAAAGGUACAGGUUUUGGCCAAGUGUUGCAACUUUUUUGAAAGGAUGCAUGUUUUGGCCCACACUACUUCAUUUGCACCAUUUCUACAUCUAUAAAUAGAACCCUAUGGACAUGGUUUUGGAUACACCAAUUGUAUUGAGCAUUCAUUCUUCUCUUACAAUUCUCUUCUUUCUAAUUCUAUAGCAUUUCAUACAUUUCCUUUGUAGAGGGGAAAUUCUGUCAAAAGUUCGUCGAUUUCCUGUGGUUUGAAGUGUUACUACCACAAGUUGUGAAUCCAUUGUAUUUUGGGAGACAAGUGCCAUUCACUGUGAGCACUGUAACGAGGCAAUUUGUCUUAAGGAAAGAAAUAACUUCUCGCCUUGGAUUAUUCUCUAUUUCUACUCCUUCUUAAUCCUUGUUUGCGUAAUCUUUAUACCGAAACUCUAUCCAAAUUUUCAUUCAUAUAAAUUGUAUUUUGAUCACACUCUUGCGGGUUAAAACUGGUUAAACAAAUAUAUCAAAAAUCAACCCUUACAUAACCC